rnacentral:hammerhead_ribozyme from 1 species
CACUGGUCGAGAGUUGUUGUUGCUCUCCUGAUGAGUCUAAUGCAGAAAGAAACCAGUG